rnacentral:lncRNA from 1 species
UGCGGCGGCUCGCGCCCGGCGCUGACGUGGUGUUUGCCCGGCAGGAACGAGACGCCCCAGCUCUUCACCGUGCUGCCGGAGAGGAGGGCGGCCAGCGUGGGCACCGCCAUGAUGGCCUCGACGCACAUCUACGACGUGUCGGGGGCCGUGGGAGGCCGGAAGAGCGCGGGGGGGCAGGAGUCGCAGGGCGUGGAGGUGGCGCUGGCGCCCGAGGAGCUGGAGCUGGACCCCAUGGCCAUGACGCAGAAGUACGAGGAGCACGUCCGGGAGCAGCAGGCGCAGCAAAAGAAGCGCAAAGCCCAGCCCCAGGACACCAGGGGUGGGGCCAAGAAGUACAAGGAGUUCAAGUUUUAGCCGCGGAGGAAGAGGAGGGCAGAGGAAGAGUCUCCGGCCCGGAUGUGCUCCUUCCCGGUCGCCACGGACUUUGUCUGCGUUUUAAAGUGACGAGGGACGGAGAAGUUUAUAGUCGUUCGGUCUUUCUACAGCCCACACUGUGUGCUGCCUGUUUUUGUAAAUAAAGUUACUCUCUAGAUGUAUUCGUAUGGGGUUUUUUUUUUAAGGAUGUUGGGUGAUGUCUGACCCAGCUCGACCACCGGACCAGCUGUCCACCCGGUCCGACGAGACCGGACCAGCUGUCCUCCCGGUCUAACGGGACCGGACCUGAACCACUGGACCAGCUAACGAGCCCGGAAGCAGCAGGGUGGACCGUGUCUGUGGGUCUGGGCCCUGUGCAACGUGUGUUACGGAUGGUUUUCAGUCCCGAGCUGGUGGAACACCUGUAAAAAGCUUCGAUCUGACCUGUCCUCUCCUUGAACAGUCCGUUCUGCUCCUGGAGC